rnacentral:rRNA from 1 species
UGCCCAGACUCCUACGGGAGGCAGCAGUGGGGGAUAUUGCACAAUGGGGGAAACCCUGAUGCAGCGACGCCGCGUGUGGGAAGACGGUCCUCUGGAUUGUAAACCACUGUCCCCAGGGACGAAGAUGACGGUACCUGGGGAGGAAGCUCCGGCUAACUACGUGCCAGCAGCCGCGGUAAUACGUAGGGGGCAAGCGUUAUCCGGAUUUACUGGGUGUAAAGGGAGCGUAGACGGUAUGGCAAGUCUGAAGUGAAAGCCCAGGGCUUAACCCUGGGACUGCUUUGGAAACUGUUAGACUAGAGUGCUGGAGAGGUAAGUGGAAUUCCUAGUGUAGCGGUGAAAUGCGUAGAUAUUAGGAGGAACACCAGUGGCGAAGGCGGCUUACUGGACAGUAACUGACGUUGAGGCUCGAAAGCGUGGGGAGCAAACAGGAUUAGAUACCCCGGUAC